UUCCUGCUGUUCUACUCUCCCUAAAGAUAUCUCUUGGACACCCCUCCCUCUUGCAGGUGAAGAAGAGGACACAAAAAUACAGCCAUGGCUGCCUCCUUCCCCUUCCCUCUCAGUGCAACAAUUUGGUUUUGCCACUACACAUCGAAACUCAUCACUGGAAUCCAGUGCAUCAUGCCACAGGCUACAUAGCAGAGCUGCAGCACUUCAUGGAUGCCACCCUGGCAUGCCUUGUUGUUUUCCCGAACCAGCAGCCCCAUCCCGUCGAUCGUCAACCGCUUUGCUGUCCAUCAUCAGUGUUGAACGCCAUCGAGCUCAUCCCUGGCAACCACGAACCAUGAUGCUUGUCUGUGAUGCUUGUGAUGGUUGUUGCUAUCGUUAGAAGAGGAGCUCUACAAGGAUGAUCAAGAAGUUGGAAGUUGCAUACCAAGCAAUUGGAAGGCAAGUGUAACAUGAGUUCCCUUGUCACCUAAUAACUAUUUAAUCACCUCUUCAUGUGCAUGUGUCCAAUAUGAUAAACCCCUAAGGACUUUACCUAAAACUAUUGUAUCUUGUAUCCUUGUUUACCCUGGGGUUAUGCACUUGGGUAGUUUGCUUAGUCUGCAAUCACCAAACUGUAUAAUAUUAAUAUUGAUUAAUGAUUAUGGAAU